CGGGGCGUGGCUCAGUUUGGUAGAGUACCUGGCUUGGAACCAGGGGGCGCAGGUUCAAAUCCCUGCCGCUCCGA
rnacentral:tRNA from 1 species